rnacentral:lncRNA from 1 species
GAACUAGAAUUCAAGAGUCCUAAGAUCUUUCAUUACUUGAUCAGUCAUAAAGGAAUAAAUUCUAAUAAACUGUAAUAAAUUAAAAUUGUUAUUGCCAUCUCAACAGUGUAUACCUAACAUGAUGAAAAGGGAAAAUAAUUAAUAAAAAUUUAAUAAAACAAUAAAAUUGAUUUAGCUAAAGAAACCAGAAAAGUAGAGAAAAAUAUCAUAGACUAUAACAUAAGUGAGAUAAAUAUAUGGUAAAUAAUAAGUGGUAGAAAAAGCCUCUUGAUAACAGUGAAAGAGGAGAGUGAAGAAGUUGGCUUAAAGCUCAACAUUCAGAAAACGAAGAUCAUGGCAUCUGGUCCCAUCACUUCAUGGCAAAUAGGUGGGGGAACAGUGGAAACCCUGGCUGACUUUACUUUUCUGGGUUUCAAAAUCACUGCAGAUGGUGAUUGCAGCCAUGAAAUUAAAAGACACUUACUCCUUGGAAGGAAAGUUAUGACCAACCUAGAUAGCAUAUUCAAAAGCAGAGACAUUACUUUGCCAACAAAGGUCCAUCUAGUCAAGGCUAUGGUUUUUCCAGUGUAGUUAUGUAUGGAUGUGAGAGUUGGACUCUAAAGAAAGCUGAGUGCUAAAGCAUUGAUGCCUUUGAACUGUGGUGUUGGAGAAGACUCUUGAGAGUCCCUUGGACUGCAAGGAGGUCCAACCAGUCCAUCCUAAAGGAGAUUAUCCUGGGUGUUAAUUGGAAGGACUGAUGAAGCUGAAAUUCCAAUACUUUGGCCACUCAAUGCAAAGAGUUGACUCAUUUGAACAGCCCCUGAUUCAGGGAAAGACUGAGGACAGGAGGAGAAGGGAACAACAGAGGAUAAAAUGGUUGGAUGGCAUCACCGACUCAACGGACAUGAGUUUGGUUUGGCUCUAGGAGUUGGUUAUGGACAGGGAAGCCUGAAGUGCUGCAGUUCAUGGGGUCACAAAGAGUUGGAAAUGGCUGAGCAACUGGACUGAACUGAACCGAACUACUAAAUUAC